rnacentral:lncRNA from 1 species
AGAUCAACAGUGGUCUGUAUGGAAUGACAGCACAGAGAUCAACAGUGGUCUGUAUGGACUGACUGCACAGAGAUCAACAGUGGUCUGUAUGGAAUGACAGCACAGGGACCCACUUCGGCCUGUAUGGACUGACAGCACAGAGAUACCGACGUCGGUCUGUACUGACUGACAGCACAGGACCCACUUCGGCCUGUAUGGACUGAUAGCACAGAGACGCCAACGUCAGUCUGUACCAACUGACAGCACAAAGACCCACAUUGAUGUGUAUGGACUGACAGCACAGAGACGCCAACGUCAGUCUGUAUGGACUGACAGCACAAAGACCCACAUCGGUGUGUAUGGACUGAGAGCACAGAGACAGCAACAUCAGUCUGUAUUGACUAACGUAACACCAUGGUAACACCAACAUCAGUCUGUAUGGACUGACAGCACAGAGACCCACAUCGGUGUGUAUGGAAUGACAGCACAGAGACACUGAUGUCAGUCUGUAUGGACUGAUAGCACAGGGACCCACAUCGGCCUGUAUGGACUGACAGCACAGAGACAGCAACGUCAGUCUGUAUGGACUGACAUAACACCGUGGUAACACCGACAUCGGUCUGUAUGGAUUGACAGCACAGAGAUCAACAUUGCUCUGUAUGGACUGACAUAACAGCAUAACACCAACAUUGGAGUGUAUGGACUGACAGCACAGAGACACCGAUGUCAGUCUGUAUGGACUGAUAGCACAGAGAUCAACAGUGGUCUGUAUGGACUGACAUAACAGCAUGAUAACACCAACAUUGCUCUGUAUGGACUGACAGCACAGGACCCACUUCAGUGUGUAUGGACUGACUGCACAGAGACCAACAUUGGUCUGUAUGGACUGAUAGCACAGAGAUCAACAUUGCUCUGUAUGGACUGACAUAACAGCAUAACACCAACAUUGGAGUGUAUGGACUGACAGCACAGAGAUCAACAGUGGUCUGUAUGGACUGACAGCACAGAGUCCCACAUUGCUCUGUAUGGACUGACUGCACAGAGACCCACUUCGGUGUCUAUGGACUGACAGCACAGAGACACCAACGUCGGUCUGUACUGACUGACUGCACAGAGACCCACAUUGGUGUAUAUGGACUGAUAGCACAGAGACCCACAUCGGUCUGUAUGGACUGACAGCACAGAGACACCGAUGUCAGUCUGUAUGGACUGACAGCACAGAGAUCAACAGUGGUCUGUAUGGACUGACAUAACAGCAUGAUAACACCAACAUUGGUCUGUAUGGACUGACAGCACAGGGACACCAACGUUGGUCUGUACCCACUGAUAGAACACCAUAAUAACACCAACAUCAGUGUGUAUGGACUGACAGCACAGAGACCAACAUUGGUCUGUAUGGACUGAUAGCACAGAGAUCAACAUUGCUCUGUAUGGACUGACAUAACAGCAUAACACCAACAUUGGAGUGUAUGGACUGACUGCACAGGGACCCACAUCGGCCUGUAUGGACUGACAGCACAGAGACCAACAUUGCUCUGUAUGGACUGACAGCACAGAGACCCACAUCGGCCUGUAUGGACUGACUGCACAGAGACAGCAACAUCGGUUUAUAUAGACUGACUGCACAGAGACCCACAUCGGUGUGUACAGACUGAUAGCACAGAGACACCAACGUCAGUCUGUAUUGGUGUGUAUGGACUGACAGCACAGAGACCCACAUUGGUGUGUAUGGACUGACAGCACAGAGACCAACAUUGCUCUGUAUGGACUGACUGCACAGAGAUCAACAGUGGUCUGUAUGGACUGACAGCACAGAGACCCACUUCGGUGUGUAUGGACUGAUAGCACAGAGACACCAAUGUCAGUCUGUAUGGACUGACAGCACAGAGACCAACAUUGUUCUGUAUGGACUGACUGCACAGAGACCCACAUCGGUCUGUAUGGACUGAUGUAACAGCAUGAUAACACCAACAUUGGCCUGUAUGGACUGACAGCACAGAGACACCGAUGUCAGUCUGUAUGGACUGACAGCACAGAGACCAACAGUGGUCUGUAUGAACUGACAUAACAGCAUGAUAACACCAACAUUGGUCUGUAUGGACUGACAGCACAGGGACACCAACGUUGGUCUGUACCCACUGAUAGAACACCAUAAUAACACCAACAUCAGUGUGUAUGGACUGACAGCACAGAGACCAACAUUGGUCUGUAUGGACUGAUAGCACAGAGACCAACAGUGGUCUGUAUGGACUGACAUAACAGCAUAACACCAACAUUGGAGUGUAUGGACUGACUGCACAGGGACCCACUUCGGCCUGUAUGGACUGACAGCACAGAGACAGCAACGUCGGUCUGUAUGGACUGACAGCACAGAGAUCAACAGUGGUCUGUAUGGACUGACUGCACAGAGACCCACAUCGGUGUGUACAGACUGAUAGCACAGAGACACCAACGUCAGUCUGUAUUGGUGUGUAUGGACUGACAGCACAGAGACCAGCAUUGGUGUGUAUGGACUGACAUAACAGUGUGAUAACACCAAUGUCAGUCUGUACCCACUGAUAUAACAUCAUAAUAACACCAACAUCAGUGUGUAUGGACUGAUAUAACGCUGUGAUAACACCAAUGUCAGUCUGUGCCCAUUGAUAUAACACCGUGAUAACACCAACAUCAGUGUGUAUGGACUGAUAUAACGCUGUGAUAACACCAAUGUCAGUCUGUACCCACUGAUAUAACAUCAUAACACCAACAUCAGUGUGUAUGGACUGCUAUAAUGCUGUGAUAACACCAGUGUCAGUCUGUGCCCAUUGAUAUAACACCGUGAUAACACCAACAUCAGUGUGUAUGGACUGAUAUAACACCGUGAUACCACCAACGUCAGUCUGUAUGGACUGACAGCACAGAGACACCGACGUUGGUCUGUAAGGACUGACGUAACAGCAUGAAAGCACCAACAUCAGUCUGUUCUGACUGACAUAACACCACGAGGACACCAACAUCAGUCUGUUCUGACUGACACAACAGCAUGGCAGCACCAAUAUCGGCCUGUAUGGACUGUUGUAACAGUGUGAUGGCCCCAAUGUCAGCCUGUACUGCCUGAUAUAACACCACAAUAACACUGACAUCAGCCUGUACUGCCUGACAUAACACCACGACGACACCAAUGUCAGCCUGGUCCAACUGACACCCCAUGGCAGCACCAACAUCAGGCUGUACUGACUGACAUAACACCAUGGCAGCACCAGCAUCAGUCUGUUCCGAUGGACAUAACAGCAUGGCAGCACCAAUAUCAGCCUCUAUGGACUGUUGUAACACUGUGAUGGCCCCAAUGUCAGCCUGUUCUGACUGACAUAACACCGUGAUGACCCCAAUGUCAGUCUGUUCCGACUGACACCCCAUGGCAGCACCAACAUCAGGCUGUACUGACUGACAUAACACCAUGAGGACACCAACAUCAGUCUGUUCCGACUGACACAACAGCAUGGCAGCACCAAUAUCGGCCUGUAUGGACUGCUGUAACACUGUGAUGGCCCCAAUGUCAGCCUGUUCUGACUGACAUAACACCGUGAUGACCCCAAUGUCAGCCUGUUCCGACUGACAUAACACCAUGAGGACCCCAAUGUCAGCCUGGUCCAACUGACACCCCAUGGCAGCACCAACACCAGGCUGUACUGACUGACAUAACACCAUGAGGACAGCAGCAUCAGGCUGUAUUGACUGACAUAACAGCAUGGCAGCACCAAUAUCGGCCUGUAUGGACUGUUGUAACACUGUGAUGGCCCCAAUGUCAGCCUGUACUGCCUGAUAUAACACCACGAUAACACUGACAUCAGCCUGUACUGCCUGAUAUAACACCAUAGCACUGACAUCAGCCUGUACUGCCUGAUAUAACACUGUGAUAACACUGACAUCAGCCUGUACUGCCUGAUAUAACACCGUGAUAACACUGACAUCAGCCUGUACUGCCUGAUAUAACACCGUGAUAACACUGACAUCAGCCUGUACUGCCUGAUAUAACACUGUGAUAACACUGACAUCAGCCUGUACUGCCUGAUAUAACACCAUAACACUGACAUCAGCCUGUACUGCCUGAUAUAACACCACCAUAACACUGACAUCAGCCUGUACUGCCUGAUAUAACACCGUGAUAACACUGACAUCAGCCUGUACUGCCUGAUAUAACACCAUGAUAACACUGACAUCAGCCUGUACUGCCUGAUAUAACACCAUAACACUGACAUCAGCCUGUACUGCCUGAUAUAACACCAUGAUAACACUGACAUCAGCCUGUACUGCCUGAUAUAACACUG